UACGAAGGGAGCUAGCGUUGUUCGGAAUCACUGGGCGUAAAGCGCACGUAGGCGGAUUUGUCAGUCGGGGGUGAAAUCCCGAGGCUCAACCUCGGAACUGCCUCCGAUACAGCAAAUCUCGAGUCCGGGAGAGGUGGGUGGAAUUCCUAGUGUAGAGGUGAAAUUCGUAGAUAUUAGGAAGAACACCAGUGGCGAAGGCGGCCCACGGGCCCGGUACUGACGAUGAGGUGCGAAAGCGUGGGGAGCAAACAGG
rnacentral:rRNA from 1 species